UACAUGGGGUGCAAACGUUGCUCGGAAUUAUUGGGCGUAAAGCGCACGUAGGCGGUUUGUUAAGUCGGAUGUGAAAUCGCUCGGCUCAACUGGGCGGGGUCAGCGGAUACGGUGUGGCUGGAGCAAGCUAGGGGGCAAUGGAAUUCCCGGUGUAGUGGUGGAAUGCGUAGAUAUCGGGAGGAACACCAGUGGCGAAGGCGGUUGCCUGGAGCUUUGCUGACGCUGAUGCGCGAAAGCGUGGGGAGCGAUCCGG
rnacentral:rRNA from 1 species